rnacentral:rRNA from 1 species
UGGGGAAUAUUGCACAAUGGGCGCAAGCCUGAUGCAGCCAUGCCGCGUGUGUGAAGAAGGCCUUCGGGUUGUAAAGCACUUUCAGCGGGGAGGAAGGCGAUAAGGUUAAUAACCUUGUCGAUUGACGUUACCCGCAGAAGAAGCACCGGCUAACUCCGUGCCAGCAGCCGCGGCAAUACGGAGGGUGCAAGCGUUAAUCGGAAUUACUGGGCGUAAAGCGCACGCAGGCGGUCUGUCAAGUCGGAUGUGAAAUCCCCGGGCUCAACCUGGGAACUGCAUUCGAAACUGGCAGGCUAGAGUCUUGUAGAGGGGGGUAGAAUUCCAGGUGUAGCGGUGAAAUGCGUAGAGAUCUGGAGGAAUACCGGUGGCGAAGGCGGCCCCCUGGACAAAGACUGACGCUCAGGUGCGAAAGCGUGGGGAGCAAACAGG